CACUCUCUCUCCCUCUCUCUCUACAAUCUCUCUCUAAAACCUUCUCUCCAUCCAUCAAUGGCUGCCGCCGCCGGUUAGCCUCCACGGCUCGCCUCUCGCCGUCCGAACCUUUUUUCUUUCUCUCGUCACCGGCGAACCCCACUGGAUUAGCCUACGAAGCUACCGGAAAACUGGCACCCGUAACCCGACGCCGCCGCUGCUCCGGUCGAACCAACAGUCCUCCCCGUCGCCAGCCGCUACUCCGGUCGAACAACAGCCCUCCCCGUCGCCAGCCGCCACAACAGCAACGGCGACUAACCAAACAGCCCCUCCGACGUCUUUCUCAACAGCCGCCAGCCUCCUCCGCACGGUCAGCCCGAACCAGCAUCGCGACCACCAUAGCUUGUGAACCAUCCGUCACUGUCUUCCGUCGCUGCAACUCCAGCUGGCCGAACCAACCGGAGAAGGCUCCACUUCUCCAUCGCCGAUCAAGCUGCCACAAAUUUAUUCUAUUUUUCCUCACCGGAGGUGAUGACCGGUGAGGUAUUGAUUGGUAACCUCUCCGAUAUUGGCUGAUUUUGGGAAUCAUCACAGGUUCUGCCUUAUCUACUUUUGCUAUUGUUAAUCUUAUAUCUUUCUUUUGUGAUUUGAAAUGGACUAAACUUAAUUGAUGUUCUUGAUUUUGAGGUUUGUGAUUUGGGUUUAUUGACAUGUUUAGGUUCUCACAUAGUUGGUGACCCUUACUUUUAUCCUCAAAAUUUAAAAUAAGUGGCCGAUUGUUUUUUAAUUCUUAAAUCAUUAUUCUUGUUUUCGAAUUGUGUUCUUUUUGAUUUGCUUAACAUUGAUGGAAAAUUUGUUUCAUAACUUACAACUAUACACUUAGCGUUUGUAACAGAAAUGGUUGAUUUCAUUUUUUCAUUCUUGACUGAAUAUUAUGGAACUGAUUGAGUAUGUAAUUUUGAUGAUUUGAGUUGAUUUAUAAUGGAGUUACUGUGAUUAAGGAAUCUCUUUCCUGAUUAAUUGCUUUUUACAUUUUAAAUGACCAGUUGUAUUCCUUAUAAUUUUUUCAUAUCUAUUUAAGGUAAAUUAGACAAAUUUUCACUUCCUAAUUGAUUAUUGAUUGAUUCUAAAAUAUUUUUCCCUUCAUUUUUUCCUUGAUUGAUUCGGUUGGUUUAUUUAUUUAAGGAAUAUAUAUAUUAUUUUUCCUUUUAUUCUCUUGGGCUGAAUUUUACAUAAUUGAUUAUAUCAUUUGUUUAAGAAAAAUAAUCUCCUUGAUUGAGUAAUCAAAUAUUCCCUUUCAUUUAAUCAUACACCAUUCUAUGCCUGUAAAAACAAACCCUCCUCAUUUUGGAGAAACAAGUUACAACACACGACAUAAUUUUCUCUUACUAAAAGCUUAAAAUAAAGAAGACGCAAAUUUACUUUUUUAUUUUUUGCGCUCAUUUCUGGAGCAUUAAUAUUGAUCUUUCGGUGGCAAUCCAUUCUCGAAUCUUUGGCUGUUUGACGUUAUUUUCUUUUAUACCUUAUAUGAUGAUGCUAGUAAACAUGCUUAUAGGAAUCAUUUGGUAUUUUCUUGCUAUGUCUGUGUCAUGUUCUAUUCCCGCUUGUAUUGCUAUUAGUCUCGGCUAUUUGAAGAAUUGCUGAAAGUUCACGGGGGAGAGCUGCACCUUUUCUUUCUUUGUUUAUUUAUUUGUUUUUUAUUCAUGGUGUUAUAAUAACUCAGUAUAAAUGUUAUUAUUUUGUAAUAAUAAAAUUUGGGGACUGCUUCGGGAGGUGGGGACUUACGUGUUCUAUGAAUAGUAUAGAUAGGCACGACUUAGAUUUUACGUAUGUUACGUGCUAAGUGGAUCAAGUUAGGCACACAAAUCUAGGAUUUAUUAAUACAUGUAUCACUUUGACAUUUAAUCUACUUAUUAAUUCGAUUAGAAAUCUUGAUUUAAGGAUUAAAAUGACAUCCGUCAUGCUAAAUUAAAUUCAUGCAUAUUAAUAUAUUUUUAUCAUGUUAAACAUUUGAAUUUUGCAUGUCAUUGUAUGUUUAGCAUGUUAAUACGAAUUUAAGCAUAUUGGUGUUUUUGAGCAUGUCAACAAUUAAAUUUUCACAUAUUAAUACAUUUUAUCAUUUUUAGCAUGUUAAACAUUAAAAUUAAUUAUGUCGUCUAGUAUGUUAACACAAAUCUAAGCAUGUUAAUAUUUUAGAGCAUGUUACAUAAAGUUUGUGUGCAUCAAUAUAUUCUUCAGCGUGUUAAAAUCGCAUAUCUGCAUAAAACAAUUAAAUUUCAGCAUGUUAAAAUUACAUUUUUGCAUAAAACAAUUAAUUACCAGCAUGUUUAAACAUUAAUUAAAGCAUUUUCAGCAUAUUAAAUAGUGGAUUAAGUAUGUCAUUGUAUUUUUUGGCCUAUUAAUGCAAUUUCAGCAUGUUAACAUGAAAUUACUGUGCAUUAGCAUAAUUUUUAGCAUGUUAAAAUAUUGAUUUUAGGUAUUUUUAGCAUGUUAUUGCAUUUUUCAGCAUAUUAAUAUGAAAUUUCUGCACUAUUAGAAUAAUUGUCAAUAUGUUAAAAUGUAGGUUUUUGUUUAGCAUUUUCAACAUGUUAAACACUAGUCUAAGUACUUCAUUGCGUUCCUUAGCAUGUUAAUGCUCUUUCAAUGUUUUGUUAUAUUCUCUUUAGUUUUAUAACACUUGCAUAAUGAAAUUCGUGAGCAUAAUUUUUUGACACAUUUACCACACUUUUGACACCCUCUUUUAACAACUUGAUAACGUAUUGUUACAUACACAAAUCACAGUUACCUUUUAUUGUAUUAAUCAAUUGUUGAACACUUAGAUAUCAUGCCCAUAGGUUAAAGACACAAAAAAAUAUUCGUCUUUACAUAUUUAUCACAUUGAUCAACUCUUUAAUAAUCAAGGGGCUAACGUGAGACAUUACUUGCUACUUGACGUCCAAUGUGUUAUGCAUUUUGAGUCCUAAGCAACAUAAUUUUAUUUUGUUUAGACCACAAAUCAAAAAUUGCAAAGUUCAAUGCCUCUUGGACGAUAUAGACGGGACGAUAGGAAUUACUAAAAAUGUUAGUUUUAUCCUUGUACUAGAACGCCGACUGUUAGUCAUUCGGAGGUGAUGAUCUCCAACCUACAUUAAAGGUAAGACAUAUAUGACUUGUCUAAGAGUUGGUCAGUGGAUCAGAUGAUGAUUAAACAAGUUCGGGUUCUGACCCGAAUGAGACCAAAACAUUUCUUUGUUUGAUUUGACGAAUUCUUUUUAUUCUUUUGUUUACCUUACAUGCUUAUUUAUUUGGGGUAAUUAGUUUGUUAUCUACACAGCCUUCUUUUGUUAUAAAUUAUGUCAUUUCUUUCUCCUCGCUUAUCUUAUUAUAUGUUUUUAUCACUUAGAUAAUUAACAAUUAGAAAUAAUAAAAUAAUAUAUUUGGUUCAUUAAUUGUUUUAUCACUUAGUUAAACAUUAAGUUAAUAAUAAAACUAGAGACUUUUAUUUGAUCACAUAAAGUCCCCACGUAAAAUAUGAAUUCGAUCGGGAACCAUCUUUGUGGACCUCGAAAGGUGCCUAACACCUUUCUUUCGAGAUAAUUUAAACCCUUACUCAAAUUUUUGGUGAACUAAGACAAUAACAAAAUAGGUUCGUAAUAGCCUAGACCGAUGCCCUAACACACCUUAAUUCGUUAGGUGGCGACUCUUCACACUCUACCCUCAAAACAAUCCCAAAAAGACUGGUCACAUCGAAUUCCACUUUCCGCGAGGAAAAUGGGAUGAGAUAGGAUGGCGACUCCAUUGGGGACCUUAGGUUCUAACCAUUACGAAUUUGUGUUUUAUGUGGGAUUCUACUACUUUCUUUGUUUUAUUGUUCUAUAAUUACUUUACCGUUUUUUUUAAUUGUUUAUAUCAUGAUUAAUAUAUACAUGUUAGUCCCUUCUCCUUUCCCUUUAUGUGUUAUUUACAUUUCUCCAUGUCUAUCCCUUUCCCCUUUCCUCUUUUAUUGUUAUGUGUUAUCAUGUUUAUUUAUAUAUAUACUGUUUAGCAUGUUACAUUUUGCUAUGUGCUAUGUGUUACUGCUUUAUAUAAUUGACAUUCCAUUCAUACUCUCCUCCACUUGAAAACUUUUUUUUGUUUUCUUUUUUACGAAUGGUUGCAUGAAUACACAGAUGUUUUUUCCUAAAACACCCUUCAGAAAAUGUCUUGUGGAUCGGUCGAUCAGCGGUGCGUUGACAGUCACAAGCUCUCCCACUCUCGAGUUGUCCACCCGAGGGAACCAUGUCAUGAAUCCACUCUUAUCCUUUAGGUCUUGGCUACAUAUUUCCUUCACUAAGGAUUAUGCGUCCCAUUCAACGUAGGAUGCCUUGACAUCCUUGACGCGUUGAAUGUUAGUCUCAUUCAAAGUCCAAAGAGGUUCACGACCUCAAAGGGACUCACAAUUAUUUGCUAUGUGUUGCAUUUCUAUGUAUGUAUUGAUAUUUUGCCUAUCUUGUUGUUUCCGUUUUUGCCUUAGUCACUCCUUACAUUAGUGUGCCUCACUUAAUAAUUCUUUACUCUUCAAAUUCUUAUCAUGUUAGGACCCUGCAAUACACUCUUAGGGCCUAUUCAAAAGCCUCAAAUUCAUCCCCAUUUGCUAUUCGACUUCUACAACUCUCAAAAUUUUGAACUACGUCUGACUUGAUUCUUGUUCCAACAAGAUAUGUAGGCAAUCCUUUGUAAGGAUGCAGUCUUCCUUUUUCCUUUCAUUUACAAAACGUCCUAAUAUUUGAAAAUGUGAAACAAUCAUUAUCAUUCCAACAAUUCUUCUAUCAAAUCAUAUUCUCCAUAUCUUUCACCUUUCCAUAAUGUCAUAAGGGUGCAACUUAGAAAUUUUUUAUUUAAAUGACUUUUCACAAUCUUUCAAACUCUCAAACAUUUCAAACUAAAUACUUUAAAAUGUUCAACUUUGUCAAUCUUCAAUUCUCUCAUUUAUUCAAAACAAUUUCUUUAAAUAUUGUAUCUCUACAAUAUAUUAUCAUUAUUCACUUGUUCACUCAAUUAGCUUCAAGUAUGAAUUUAGUAUCUAAGUCAUUGUUAGAAUCUAUCUUUCAUCCUGUGAUAUCAAUUCAUUUUUUAAGCUUAAAGUUCUAGCCCACCCAUUCGUCCUAAAGUCCUCCUUGACAAAAUGACUCAUAUCGACAUACUAUCUCUUUUCUCAUUGAGCACGCUGAUACUUAUUUUGUUUAGCUUACUAUUUAAAGGUUGUCUAGAAUUUGAACAUCAGCUCGAUUGAAAAUCUGCAAUGUGACAAAUAUGCUCAAUAUUCGGAAAGAUUACAUCCCUUUUUUCUGUCACUCAAGGCGAAACAUUGUUUAGACCGAACCUUUUUAUUCUCGCGUUAUUCAUAUACCCUCUCAAAAAUUUCCUUCUACAUUCACCAAUCUUGAAAAUGGGAGACACCGUUAGUCUUGAAAAUAGGAGACACUGUUAGUCUCCAUUUAUCCGCCUUAUGACUAAAUAACAUUUUCUAUCUUAUCUACUUUCUUUUUACUCAAGAACUUCGUUCGACUUGACUUUCAUUCGGAGGCAGCCCACUCUGGGUCUGGUCUUAAUCUAAUAAAAUAUUUUCUCUCCCCACUUUCUUUCAAUUCUUACAAUUCCAAAUCGACAAGCUAAUAGACCUAACUCUUGAGCAUAUAAAGGCAGAUUACAAUUGAGGUUACAAUAUUCAAAUAUAGGACGACUAUUUCUCUUGGACUAAUAUUUUCUUUAAGCAGUACAGGAAUAUAAGACUCUAAAGGCCAAAAUUGGGGCAGAAUUUUUGAGGUUUCAAAGAAACCUCAAAAAUUUCACAAGUAAACAAUAUAUCAAUGACGUCUAAAAGUGCCUUUCAUUCUAAACUGGGGCAGAAAUUUUUGAGAAUUUCUCAAAAAUUUCACCAUGAUGAAGUACAAGUCCUAACGGUCUAUGAAGCAGAAACAACGACCAAAGAGUCCAAUCGAGCAAGGAUUAAUGGGUACAAAUGACAACAAUCACUCCAUUACGAGAGACCCGAUGGCUAAUUAAACAUCAUGCUGAGAAGCCUCACAAUUGACCCAUCACUACAACAGAUACGCUUUCUUAUCUUAUCUUUAUUGUUAUGGUUAUUUUCACUACAUUGUUCAGCCUCCUCUACAUACAUGUAUAUAUCCUUUUAUCCAGUUGAGCUGAAAGUGGCAGGACCAACAGGUACGGAUGACGAUCCAACGUCAUAUCGAGAGGCCAAAUAGCUGAUCUAACGAUACAUCGAGAGGUUCAACAGCCGAUCCAACGUCAUAUCGAAAAGCCAAAUUGCUAAUCCAAUGAUACAUCGAGAGGUUCAACAUCCGAUCCAAUGUCAUAUCGAGAAGCCAAAUAGCUGAUCUAGUAAUACAUCGAGAGGUUCAACAACUGAUCCAAUGCUAUAUUGAGAAGCUAAACAGCAGAUCCAACGAUACAUCGAGAGGUUCAACAUCUGAUCCAAUGUCAUAUCGAGAAGCCAAACAGCUAAUCCACCGAUACAUCGAGAGGUUCAACAUCUGAUCCAACGUCAUAUCGAGAAGCCAAACAAUUGAUCCAACAUCACAUCAAGAAGUCAAACAGCUGAUUCAAUAAGACAACAGAUACGCCUUUUUUAUUUCCACAUUCACUUUAGGUUUAUCAAUUGUUUAUUUCUUAUAUGCCUAAUCUUUGUUAUUUAGUACGAUGUAAAGACACAGGUAACAAAGAAGGAAUAACAAACAAAGAUAAUUUUCGUUUCUGUUUUUGAAGUAUUACCCCAUCUAUGCAUUAAUCGCCUAAACUAAUCCUAAAACACACUUACCUCAACAUUUUCAAACUACUUCACAUCAUUGUUUCCAAAAUUCAUUCUCAUCCCACCAACCCACGAUAUCAUUGUUGACGCCCCUACCCUCUAUCCUUAACAUUCUUUAGGAAUAUUGUCCGUUCCUAAAUCUAGAACUACACGCGGGUUGAUUCUCAUAAAAUCAGAGAUAUGUAGGCGACUUAAUGCCAAAUUCUCGGCCACACUAUUUUUUAAACACUUUUCAUUGCUUUCUUCCUAACAAACCGUCAUCUCGGUCGGACAAAAUUGGCUACUACGUCAACUUUCAUUGCAUGACAUUUCUUUCAUCAUGCUCAAGCAACGUAGGGAAGCUGUUGACACCCAAUUUUGCCCCUCCCUAUCCCCCAUACCCCAUUAGGCUGCUAUUUUAUCAAAAAUAUUUUUUUCAAAUAUUAACAUUUUUUUGCAUCAAACAGAUUUCUGACGUGUCACAUUAAUGAUUUAAAAAUGUACAAAUUAUUUUAUUAACUUUGGUAUCAUUUUUUACAAUUCAGAUACAAUAUUUUAUGUAAUUUUAUCAAUAUUUAUUAAAUUAUUUUUUUCACAAAUAUGCACACCCAUCAUUUACAAAUACAUUGUCUAGUUGUAUUAUUAUUAUUAUUAAUAAUAAUAAUAAUAAUAAUAAUAAUAAUAAUAAUAAUAAUAAUUUUAUAUAAUAAUUUUACAUAACAUUAAUUUAUAUAUGCUUACUUUAUUUUUAAACUUCUUAUUUAAUUAACAACCUAAUUUAAAUAAAUAUUUUCUAAUUUAUUUAAAUUCUAGCCUUUUGUCCAAUUUAUAGCAAUCUUAGCCUGACUCCACAUAAUUUAUUACAGUUCUAGCCUAAUUUGUGUCUAUUUGAACUCAAUUGUAAUUUUUUAUUCAAUUCGGACCAGAUUCUUAAUUUUUAAAUCUCAGCCGUUGAUCAGAAGUGAUCUAACGGCUGAGAUCAAGCUCUUGCCUCCUUUCCUUUUAUACACAAAGAAAGGAACCGUAAUUCAUUUUCCAACAGCCACACUUUCUCUCCCUCUCUCUCUACAAUCUCUCUCUCUCUCUCUAAGACCUUCUCUCCAUCUAUAAAUGGCUGCAACUGCCAGUCAGCCUCCACGGCUCGCCUCUCACCGUCCACCCUCCAGACCUCUUUUCUCUCUCUCCUUCACCGGCAAACCCCGCUGGAUUAGCCAAUGAAGCUACCGCAAAAUUGGCGCCCGUAACCCGCCGCCGCCGCUGCUUCGGUCGAACCAACAGCCCUCCCCGUUGCAGCCGCUACUCCGGUCGAACCAACAGCCCUCCCCAUCUCUAGCCGCCACAAAAGCAACGACGACUAACCAAACAGCCCCUCCGGCGUCUAUCUCAACAGCCACCAGCCUCCUCCUCCGCACGGUCAGCCAAUCAGCACUGCGACCACCAUGGCUGGUGAACCAGCCGUCAUUGCAUUCCGUCGCCGCAACUCCAGCCGGCCGGACCAAUCGGAGAAGGCUCCACUUCUCCAUCGCCGAUCAAGCAGCCACGAGUUUAUUCUAUUUUGCUCACCGGAGGUGAUGACCGGUGAGGUAUUGAUUGGUAACCUCUCCGAUAUUGGCUGAUUUUAGGAAUCAUCAUAGGUUCUGCCUUGAUUGAUGUUUGUGAUUUAGAUUUAUUGACAUGUUUAGGUUCUCAUAUAGUUGGUGACCCUUACUUUUGUCCUCGAAAUUUAAAAUAAGUGGCCGGUUGUUUUUCAAUUCUUAAAUCAUUAUUCUUGUUUACGAAUUGUGUCCUUUUUGAUUUGCUUAACAUUGAUGGAAAAUUUGUUUCAUAACUUACAAUUAUACACUUAGCGUUUGUAACAAAAAUAGUUGAUUUCAUUUUUUCAUUCUUGACUGAAUAUUUUGAAACUGAUUGAGUAUGCAAUUUUGAUGAUUUGAAUUGAUUUAUGCAUAAUGGAGUUACUGUGAUUAAGGAAUCUCUUUCCUGAUUAAUUGCUUUUUACAUUUUAAAUGACCAGCUGUAUUCCUUAUAAUUUUUUCAUAUCUAUUUGAGGCAAGUUAGACAAAUUUUCAUUUCCUAAUUGAUUAUUGAUUGAUUCUGAAAUAUUUUUCCCUUUAUUUUUUCCUUGAUUGAUUUGGUUGGUUUAUUUAUUUAAGGAAUACAUAUAUAUAUGUUUAUUUUUCCUUUUAUUCUCAUGGGCUGAAUUUUACAUAAUUGAUUAUAUCAUUUGUUUAAGAAAAAUAAUCUCCUUUAUUGACUUAUCAAAUAUUCCCUUUCAUUUAAUCAUACACCAUUCUAUGCCUAUAAAAACAACCCCUCCUCAUUUUGGAGAAACAAGUUACAACACACAACAUACAUUUUCUCUUACUAAAAUCUUAAAAUAAAGAAGCGGUAAUUUUAUUUUAUUAUUCUUGGCACUCGUUUCUGGAGCAUUAAUAUUGACCUAUCGGUGGCAAUUAAUUCUCGGAUCUCUGGCUGUUUAUUUUUUUGUUAUUAUUAUUAUCUGUUAUCAUCAACAAUCAGUCCCUGACAACGUAAUUUUCUUUUAUACCUUAUAUGAUGAUGCUAGUAAACAUGCUUAUAGGAAUCAUUUGGUGUUUUCUUGCUAUGUUUAUGUCAUGUUAUAUUCCCACUUGUAUUGCUAUUAUGUAUUGUCUCACAGGUAUAAAUAGACAGUCUCGGGUAUUUGAAGAGUCGCCGAAAAGUUUAUGGGGGAGGGCUGCACCUUUUCUUUCUUUGUUCAUUUAUUUAUUUUUGAUUCAUGGUGUUGUAAUAACUCUGUAUAAACACUAUUAUUUUGUAAUAAUAAAAUUUGGGGAUUGCUUCGGGGGGCAGGGACUUACGUGCUCUAUGAAUAGUGUAGAUAGGCACAACUUAGAUUUUACGUGUGUUAUGUGCUACGUGGAUCAAGUUAGGCACACAAAUCUAGGAUUUAUUAAUACAUUAAUCACUUAGACAUUUAAUCUACUUAUUAAUUCGAUUAGAAAUCUUGAUUUUAGGAUUAAACUGACAUCUGCAAUGCUAAAUUAAAUUCAUGCAUAUUAAUACAUUUUUAGCAUGUUAAGCAUUUGAAUUAAGUAUGCCACUGUAUGUUUAGCAUGUUAGCAAGAAUUUAAGCAUAUUGGUAUUUUUGAGCAUGUCAGCAAUUAAAUUUCACAUAUUAAUACAUUUUAUCAUUUUUAGCAUGUUAAACAUUAAAAUUAAUUAUGUUGUCUAGCAUGUUAACACAAAUCUAAGCAUGUUAAUAUUUUAGAGCAUGUUAACAUAAAAUUCCUGCAAAUUAAUAUAUUUUAUAACGUGUUAAAAUCGUGUUUCUGCAUAAAACAAUUAAAAUCCGGCAUGUUAAAACUGCAUUUUUGCAUAAAAUAAUUAAUUAACAGCAUGUUUAAAAAUUAAUUAAAGCAAUUUCAAUAUAUUAAAUAGUGGAUUAAGUAUGUCAUUGUAAUUUUUGGCCUAUUAAUGCAAUUUCUGCAUGUUAUCAUGAAAUUACAGCGCAUUAGCAUAAUUUUCAGCAUGUUAAAAUAUCAAAAAAAAAUAAUUAUUUAUCUUUGCAUAUUUAUCAUAUUAAUCAACUCUUUAAUUACCAAGGGGCUAACGUGAUACAUUACUUGCUACUUGACGUCCAAUGUGUUACGCGUUUUGAGUCCUAAGCAACAUAACUUUAUUUUGGCUAGACUAUAAAUUCAAAAUAGAAAAGUCCAAUGCCUCUUGGACGAUAGGCGAGACGAUAGAAAUUACUAAAAAUGUUAGUUUUAUCCUUGUACUAGAACGCCUUUAGAUUUGACAUCCAGCCUAGGAGGGGUGGGACGGGUAGUCAUUCGAAAGUGAUGAUCUCCAACCGACAUUAAAGGUAAGACAUAUGACUUGUUUAUGAGUUCGGCCAGUAGGUCGGAUGAUGAUUAAACAAGUUAGGGUUCUUAUCCGAAUGAGACCAAGACAUUUCUUUGUUUGAUUUGACAAAUUCUUUUUAUUUGCUUAUUUACCUUACAUGCUUAUUUAUUUGGGCUAAUUAGUUUGUUAUAUAAGCAAUCCUCUUUUGUUAUAAAUUAUGUCAUUUCUUUCUCCUCGCUUAUCUUAUUUUAUGUUUUUAUCACUUAGAUAAUUAACAAUUAGAAAUAAUAAAAUAAUAUGUUUGGUUCAUUAAUUGUUUUAUCACUUAGUUAAACAUUAAGUUAAUAAUAAACAAAAGACUUUGAUCACAUAGAAUCCCCGCGUAAAAUACAAAUUUGGCCGGGAACUACCUUUUUGGACCUCACAAGGUGCCUAACACUUUCCUUUUGAGGUAAUUUGAACUCUUAUCAGAAUUUUUAGUGAACUAAGAUAAAACAAAAAAAAUAUGUUCGUAGUAGCCUAGAACGUUGCUCUAACGCAUCUUAAUUCGUUAGGUGGUGACUCUUCAUACUCUACCCUUAAAAUAAUUUCAAAAAGAGUGGUCACGUCGAAUUCUGCAAAGAAAAUAGGGCGCGAUAAAGAGUCGAGUGAGGCCCUGUUGAGCUUCCUGUCUAUGGCUCUGUCAUUACAUCAAAAUGAGAAUUGCAAGUUAAAAACAUAAAGAAAACUACAAAAGUCCUAUCUAUGCAGCUUUCCUUGACUUUGACUUAUUAUUUCAUCACCCUAUUCUUUAGGCGGUUCCUAACAUGCAAUUUCUUUACCCCGUUCUCCAGGCGGGCUCCUGACUUGCAAUUUCUUCAACUUGUUGCUUUGUUUUUAAUUUCUUCACCCUAUUCUUUGUGCGGUCUCCUGAGUUGCUAUUUUUCAAUCUGUUGACUUUCAAUUUCUUUACCUUAUUGCUUGACUUUCAACUUUUUUCCUUGUUGCUUGACUUUCAUUUAUUCACCCUGUUCUUUGAGCGGGCUCCUGAAAUCACAUCAAAACUAGAAAGAAAAUUAUCCUAAACAAAUGUUAUUAUAAAGAGAGAUUCCAUUUGUCAGAAAAGUAAAGUUCCUAAAACAGAAAUUAAAUUUUUGCCCUAGUUUAUCAUCAAAAAACUUUUGCGAAUGUCAAAUCCAAUCAUAACUACUUGCAUGUUGCAAUGAUAAAUCAAGACUCUGACCAGAAAAUGCAUCUUUUGAGAUUAAAAUUAAAUGACCAAGACUAGGAAGUGCAUCUCCUAAGAAUUGAAGUGAGGAAUUUUGACUAGAAAGUGCAUCUACUAGAGAUGAAGGUUUAAGUUAGGAUGUACAUCACCUAACAAGUAAAAUUCGAAUUACCCAAUCAAGGAAGUGUGUUUCCUUACCAAUGCCUCUUGAAUUACCAAAACAAGUGUGUCUCCUUACCAAUGCCGCUUGAAUUACCCAAAUAAAGAAGUGCAUCUCCUUACAAAUGCCGCUUGAAUUACUAAAACAUGGAAGUGUGUCUCCUUACAAAUGUCACUUGAAUUAUCUAGACAAGGAAGUGCGUCUCCUUACAAAUGCCACUUGAAUUACCCAGAAAAGGGAAUGCGUCUCCUUACAAAUGCUGCUUAAAUUAUCCAGACAAGGAAAUGCGUCUCCAUACAAAUGUCGCUUGAAUUAGCUAAACAAGAAAAUGCGUCUCCUUACAAAUACCGCUUAAAUUAUCCAGACAUGGAAGUGCGUCUUCUUACAAAUGUUGCUUGAAUUACCCAGAUAAGAAAAUGCAUCUCCUUACAAAUGAUGCUUAAAUUAUCCAGAUAAGAAAAUGCGUCUCCUUACAAAUGCCUCUUGAAUUACCCAAACAAGGAAAUGUGUCUCCUUACAAAUACCGCUUAAAUUAUCCAAACAAGAAAAUGUGUCUCCUUACAAAUGCCACUUAAAUUAUUUAGACAAGGAAAUGUGUCUCCAUACAAAUGACACUUGAAUUACCUAGACAAGAAAAUGCUUCUCCUUACAAUUGCCACUUGAAUUACUUAAAUAAGGAAGUGUGUCUUCUUACAAAUGCCGCUUGAAUUACCCAAACGAGAAAGUGCUUCUCCUUACAAAUGCCGCUUGAAUUACCCAAACAAAGAAAUGCGUCUUCCAAUAAAUGCCUCUUGAAUUACCCAAAAAAGGAAGUUCGUUUCCUUACAAAUGUUGCUUGAAUUACCAAAAUAAGGAAGUGCAUCUCCUUACAAAUGUUUCUUGAAUUAUCCAAACAAGGAAGUGUAUCUCCUUAUAAAUGUCGCUUGAAUUACCCAAACAAGGAAGUGUGUCUCCUUACAAAUGUUGCCUGAAUUAUCAAAACAAGGAAGUGCGUCUCCUUAUAAAUGUUUCUUGAAUUACAAAAAUAAGGAAGUAUGUCUCCUUACAAAUGUUGCUUGAAUUACCAAAAUAAGAAAGUACGUCUUCUUACAAAUGUUGCUUGAAUUAUCCAAACAAGGAAGUACAUCUUCCUACAAAUAUCGCUUGAAUUACCCAAACAAGGAAGUACGUCUCCUUACAAUUGUUGCUUGAAUUACCAAAACAAAAAAUUACGUCUCCUUAUAAAUGUUGCUUGAAUUAUCCAAAAAAAAAGUGCGUCUCCUUACAAAUGUUGCUUGAAUUACCCAAACAAGGAAGUGCGUCUCCUUACAAAUGCCACUAGAAUUAUCCAAGAAAAUGCAUCUCUUAGGGGAUAACUACUUAACUUGAAAGUAGCUUUUCUAGGAGUAAAGGCUUAAGUUAGAAAGUGAACCACCCAACAAGCGAAACUUGAAUACCCACCAAGGAAGUGUGUCUCCUAAGGUUCAAGUCGAAUGACUCAACUAGAAAGUGCGACUUCUAGGGGUGAAGGUUCAAUUUAGGAAGUGCAUUACCUAAUAAAUAAACCUGAAUUACCCAAAGAUUUACCGUGUUUUUAAUCACCAAACCUGUGCAGCAAUAUUGCCUCUUGCAUUUGUAGAAGUGAGAAAUUACGGCCUUUGAUGUUUAGGCUUAGAAAUCAUUGAUUUGAAGAUAACAUAUGUUCCUGUUUCAUACAAAGAAAAAUUAUGAUUUUAAAAAUAUGGUGGUUGGUUUGUGCCUUUAGCUUUCGCGGCAAUCGCUCUUGCCCCCGUCACAUUUAACCUUGCUUCCAACCAUUAACAUAUGUCAUUGACUUGCUGAAUCAUUGACCUAAACUUAGAUUAUUAAGAGUGAGUCUAAAAUAAACACAACAUCUCUGCUUUGCCAUGCUUCUCAGAUAAACCUUUUGAACCUUGGUAUUUUCAUAAGUUCCCAGACUUGUCUGUUGACAAAACUUUUUGAAUGCCUUAUUUGGGCUCACAAUCAUGUAGCUUUCAUGUGUAGGCCUUUUGUCUUGAUUUGUGCAAUUGAAAAAGCUGGUAGCCAGUUUUGAAAUCUUUUCUCACUUAUUUUGACAUGGACUUGACUCAAAGACAAGAGAAAAAAUGACUGAUUUUUUAUUUGGAUAAUUAACUCAAGAAAAUAAAAUAAAAAGAAGAAAGAAAGUACAAUGAAUGUCCCCAUUUGAAAUAAAGAAAUAAAAAAUUUAUCUAAAAAAAACAGUCAACUCUCAUGAUUAUGCCAUGCAUUUUGGAUUAAGCUGCCUGAUCUUUCCAUCCGAACUUUCUACCAAUUGUUGUUGAGUUAAUAGCCUUGAAACUGAGUUUAUUCGUUAGGUCAAUUGCAUUUAAGACCUCAUUUGGCUAGUGGUGCCUUGAAGGGUUUUCACCAACAAGCCUCUUUCAUUUUCUUUUUCUCAGCUCACCAUUGCCUUGUGGUGUCCAUGAGGGUUUUUCACCAAUGAGACUCUUAUUUUCAUUUUUCUCAACUCAUCGUUGUCUUACAGUGCCCAUGAGGGUUUUCACUGAUAAGACUCUCUCAACUUACCAUCGUUUUACGGUGCCAUAAGGGUUUUCACCAAUAAGACUCUCUCAUUUUUAUUUCUCUCCUGAUUCUUUAUGCUGAGGAAGAUGAGUAGUUCCUAAAAUACAUUAUCAUAUACAUUGCAUGUUAAGACUUAUCAUUUUCAAAGAUUGAUCUAAAAGUCUUUCUUUGGUUGUAACUUGACUUUUGGAUAAGGUUAGAAAGAAAGGACGGCAUGAAACUCAAACGACACUUGAAGUGGGGUGGGACUUACAACUUUUGGAAUUGACUCAAACAACAAAAAUUAACUCAUGCCUCAAUUUCUUUUGACUGGGUAACGCUAAAUUGUUUAUUUGGUCGGACCUAGCCCAGAGUAGGGCAACCUACGUAUCUCACCCCCGAGAGAGGAAAAUUAGGUCAUGUGUAGUUCUGACAACUAGUUCUUUUGCUUGAUUAUGAUUUUUUCUCCCUUUUUUUCUGACUCUUUAUUUUGGACCUUUUUCUGGCUUUAUUUUUCUUGACACUCUUCUUUUUCUUUCUUUUUGACAUAUUUUUUCUGAUUCUAUUCUUUUGCUUGACACUUUUCUUAUGAACUUUCCUGACUCUUAUCUUGAUUCCACAAGAGGGGUAUGAAAGAAAAUAGAACUAAAGCUCAAACAGGGUUCACAAAGAAUGACACAAUGAUUAGAUAGCUGAAUGAAAUGCCUCUGUAAUAUUAAUCCUUGAAAAUGCAAGUACAUAUCAUGUAAUUUGAAAGUGAAAGAUGGAGAUCAUUUGUGAUAUUUUUACAGAACUAACUUUAACUGAAUUUGUGCAUCACUACUCUUGCACUUUGUUCAAUAUACCAUUCCAUUUUUGUUGUACAUUCCUUAUGCUGAAAGACUCAUGACUUCGUGGUGCUGAUUUUUUUUUAAUUCCUUUUGACAUAGGAUCGCGCAUUCACUAUUUGACCUAAUUGAGAAAUGUUCUUCAAUUGAUGACCAAGUUAUUCUUAUGAUUCUUAAAAUAAUUGCCUUGAUUUUUAAAGAAGGCUUCAACUUGACCACCAAAUGCCUCAACACUCUAUCUAUUUUCUCAGGUACUCUCUUUUUCUAACAUUAAUCCUCUGACUCAAUGUUUCAUGAUUAAACUAGAUUUUAAGAUCUGGCUAAAAAUUCUGCUAGCAUGUCAUAUCACUAGAAUCAACAUAAAAUAUACUGUGUAAACAAAACAAAUAAACAACACAUAUUUAAAACACCAAGGUAAAGGGAUACUUCAUUUAGUUAAAAUAAAAGAUAGAAAUGUUUAAACAUAAACGACAAAGAAACAAAACAAGAUAGAUUCCGAACUACAACCCUGAGAUAAUUUGGAAAACAGAAAGAAAAAUAAAAUAAACUACCAACAACUCUUCCUGGUAAGGAGAGGAGUGACUUCCCAAUUACUGAGCUUGACAUCAUAGCCACAGAUUUGCAUAUCAUCAUGACUAGAGCUUUUACCACUUUCAAUGUUUUGCACCACAAUCAAUUUAUCUUGAAUUAUCUUCUUAAUUUCUCUUUUCAAAUCUCGAUAAUCUUUAAUACUAUAACCCUGAGCAUCAUAAUGAUACGCACAUCAUACAUUGGGAUCAAAAUUUCUUGAAUGCGGAUUAAGAGUGUGCCCAAGAAGUGGAGUGAUCAUGCCCCAUUUUACUAAUCUCUCGAAUAGACUGGCAUACGAUUCUCCAAUUAGUGUGAAACUAUCUCUAGGCUUCUGCCUCUUCUCAUUAUUUGACUUGGAUCGAAGCUCGUACCUAGAAGGGCUUUGAUAUGUUUGUGGAGUUGGAGGGUGAAUUUGAGACAUUGGUGCGUGCCAUUGUGAGUAAGAAGGGAGUUGAAGAUAUGGUUGCGCGCAGUGUACUAGAUAUGGAGGUGGGGAGAUAAGAGUAUAAUGGAUUUUGAGAGUGAUUAUAUAGAGAUUGGCAAUGAACUUGGGCUUGAGACUAAGGAUAACGACGACGUGGUAUUCUUGGACUCACUCGUUUUCCAACUAUAAUAGCAGCUGCAUCUUCCUUAUUCUUCUUCCCUCCAAUUUUCUUUAAUUGAUUGCAAUAUUGUCCCAAAUAUUUUACAGAUUCCUCAUGUCCAUCUUGCUCCUCAAAUUUUGAUAUCUCAAGGAUUAGAGGAAGGUUAACACUAAAAGACAUGUUCUGGUUUUUAUAUGAAACAUCUUCUUUACCCAUCAGUCCUAGGAAAUUUUUCAUAGCAUUUUAUGCACUAUUCAUUUUUUCAACCAUUUUCUCUUGCUAUUCAAGAACGCUAGGCUACUUGUUAAGAAAUUUUGGUGGUCCAAUUAACUUAAAAGUAGGCUCAGGAGUAUAACAAUAUCACCAAGAGUAUUGAACAUGAGUCAACUAGCAGCAUGGGAAAGCACAACCGAUAGACAGCUAGCCAAUGUGGAUGUCCCAGCAAAGGAUUGAGCAACAAAAUCAUAAACGAUAUAUAGUGUUGUGAAUGUAGUAGGAUUAUGCUGAGGAUCUAGAGAAAGAGUGGUGAAAGUAUUGAGAUACUUUUGGCUUGGAAUGAAUUAUGAGUCAUGUUGCAGUGCAUCAAUAACAGCAGGAAACUGACUUCGCAAUUUUGAUGAAAAACUCAAGGUAUUUGUAGGAUCAAUAUCGGUAAAUGGAGAAGGGGGCAACCCACUGGCCCAAGCUCGAUACAUUUUUGUCAUGUGUUUCCUUAGUCUCCUAAUCUCUUUCUUUAAACUCUCAUUUUCCUGACUCUUUGUUUGAUCCAUGAUGUCACUCUCUAUAUCCUUGUUAAACACAAGUAACCCUUCCUUGGAUUUGGAGUGAUGUGGAGGAACUGUCAGAAUACCACAAACCAACCACCUUAAACUAACUGAAUAAGAAAUAACAAAUGUGUUAGAGUUCAACACUUUCUCAAAACCUUUUUCUUUCAUUUUCUUUGGAAAAUAUCACCAAACCCAAGAAGGGAGUGUACAUAUCUCACUCCCAAAAGAGGAGAAUUAGGUGUGCAUAGUUUGUAAAGUCUUGUCACACAUGACCAAUUAAACUCUCUUUCUUUUUCUUAUUUUUUGAAACUUUGAGAAGAAAAGAAAAUAACAAAUUGUCAAAACAAUUGACGAAAAUAUUUUUUGAAUUUUUCAGUUUUAAACUCCCUAUACAAAAUGAAACCUAUGAUUACCAAAGAAAAAUCUUUUUGGAUUUUUGAUUGUGAAUUUAAUAUGAAAAUGAAACUGAAACUAUUAAAGGAAAAUCUUUUUGUAGUUUUCUUUUAAAUAUGUAUAUGACACCUACUCAAAAUGAAGAGUGAAGAAAAUAUUUUUGAAUGUUUUAAAUAAGAUCACCGAAUCCUAGAAGGGCUGCCUACGUACCUCAUCCCCGAAAGAGGAGAAUCAGGUGUGCGUAGUUCGUCCAGAUUGGACAAUUUAGGAUUAAAUGACAAACAAAAUCUUGACUUGAGAGACACGGCCAAAGACAAACGAUAAAAAAUAUCAAUAAAAUCUUUUUGAGUUUUGAAUUUGACACUUUACAUAAAACUGACAGCAACAACCAUGAAAAAAAAA
rnacentral:lncRNA from 1 species